ensembl:lncRNA
GGUGACAUCUGUGAACCAGUGUAUCACAAAGUUGAACACGCAUGGGAAUCACUUGCAGGUCUUGUUAAUGGGCAAAUUCCUAAGCCUCACCCUCAGAGAUCUGAUUUACAGGUCUAAGGUGAGGCCCAGGAAUUUGUAUUUCUAACAAGCACCCAGAUGGUAUGGCUGGCCCCCUGGCCCCACCAUGAGCAGCAGUAUGCUCAGCAUUUCAACCUGGCCUCUGUCCUGAAGUCUGUAAGCAUUGCAGUUUUUGCAUGAGACUGUAUGUAGGGUCAGUAAAUGUUUGAUAAGACACUUUAUGAUACCCAAUUUUCAUCUCACUUCUUGCCAAGGACUUGGCAAAUCUUAUGUUUGUGGACUGUUUACAAUUUACAUGCAUUAUGUUACGUUUGUGGAGUGGUUUAUAAUUUACAUGCAUUAUGUUAUUUGGCCCAGUGGGGUAUGGUUUUGUCCACUUUACAAAUUAAGCAAUGGAGGCUGAGAUUUACUUACGUUCAAAGAGUGCUCUAUAGACUCUGAGCCAGGCCUUUGGAUGCUAAGUCCUGUAGUCUGUUCACUCCACCAUAGCUGCUCACCUCCAUUUCCUGUCGUGAAGGGGUUUUCUCAAUGCUAUGAGGCAGUGGAAUACACACUAUCUGAGUGCGACAGAGAUAGAACUUAGGUGAGAAAAGGAAUCCCAAAAUAGAGGCUGCGAGAGUGAUGUCAGCAUCACGGCAGAGUGAGUUGUUCCUUUAGUCUCUUCCCCCCAAGUUACAACUAAAUGGACAUUCGUUAACCAGCAGAGGAUUCCCUGCACAGCAUGAUAGGACAUCUGAGAGAUCCACACAGCUGCACAUCUGAAGAACUGUGAGCUCCUUGCAUCAGGGUCCAGGAGUUGCUCAUCUGCAUACCCUCGGCAUACACCACCCAGAUAUGGCUGUGUGUAGGGGCGACACACGUGCACGCCGAGUUAAGUCAGCAUGGACGGGUGCCAGGUGCCAGGCUCCACCACCAACAAAUCACACCCUCUCCACAGCCCCACUACAGCCCUUCUGAGACUUGUGUCUAUAAAUUGUGCCAUGACAAGUCGCCUGGAAACUUCCUUUGCUGCUGGCAGCUCCACACCCAUGCAUUUCCUUUUUCCUGUAAAAAAAAUCCAUUCCCAGCUCCAACUCAAGACAGAAGGAAAUUACCUCAUCCUCAUUCUGUGCAUUCCAGAGAAUUAGCUCACCCGCAUUGGGAGACUGUCAAUCAAGUCUCCCCUCUCUCCCCAGCCGGGCGGUGGGCUUAUUAUCCAAGCUGGGCCGACUGGAUUCUCCCUUUUAGGUGUUGAAUCUGGAUCAGCAUCAGAAGUGCAGAGAUGUGUUAGAGCUGACACAUGCCAACAGGCUCCCUCACCCGACAGGCAUGGUGCCUGCCUCGAAGACCCCCAGGGACACCCCAGUUCCUGUUCAUUCUAGCCUGGGUGGACUGAGCAAGACUGAAGUUAAUGUUUGCUGUGAGCCUGGUGCUAAAUUAGAAGGAAAUUGAGUUCUUCUUACCCUACAUGAAUUGGUGAACUGAGGGACCAAACCAUGGGGUGUCCAGCAUCAUGCUGAGGAUAACGAGUUAAUCCACAAAUACCGAUGGACUGAUGGAGAGUGUGAACUCUUCCUCCAUAACGGAGUACUGAAUUCCAGCAUUGCCAAACAUGCAUGACUUUCUCCAUUUGGGUCAAAUAAGGAGAGGUAUGCACCUCUUCUUUCUGCUCUUCUCCUUCCUUUUGCUCUUUUUCUUUUUGGUUUCUUUC